rnacentral:rRNA from 2 species
UACCUGGUUGAUUCUGCCA